UACGUAUGGGGCAAGCGUUAUCCGGAUUUACUGGGUGUAAAGGGAGCGUAGGCGGUAUGGCAAGUCAGAAGUGAAAGCCUGGGGCUCAACCCCGGAAUUGCUUUUGAAACUGUCAAACUAGAGUGUCGGAGGGGUAAGCGGAAUUCCUAGUGUAGCGGUGAAAUGCGUAGAUAUUAGGAGGAACACCGGUGGCGAAGGCGGCUUACUGGACGAUCACUGACGCUGAGGCUCGAAAGCGUGGGGAGCAAACAGG
rnacentral:rRNA from 1 species